rnacentral:rRNA from 1 species
UACGUAGGGUGCAAGCGUUAUCCGGAAUUAUUGGGCGUAAAGAGCUCGUAGGCGGUUUGUCGCGUCUGCUGUGAAAACCCGAGGCUCAACCUCGGGUCUGCAGUGGGUACGGGCAGACUAGAGUGCGGUAGGGGAGAAUGGAAUUCCUGGUGUAGCGGUGGAAUGCGCAGAUAUCAGGAGGAACACCGAUGGCGAAGGCAGGUCUCUGGGCUGACACUGACGCUCAUGCACGAAAGCGUGGGGAGCAAACAGG